rnacentral:rRNA from 1 species
GACGAACCGUGCGAACGUUGUUCGGAAUCACUGGGCUUAAAGGGCGCGUAGGCGGGCUCACAAGUCAGGGGUGAAAUCCCACGGCUCAACCGUGGAAGUGCCUUUGAUACUGUGGGUCUUGAGGGAGGUAGGGGCGUGCGGAACUUCCGGUGGAGCGGUGAAAUGCGUAGAUAUCGGAAGGAACACCGGUGGCGAAAGCAGCGCGCUGGACCUCUACUGACGCUGAGGCGCGAAAGCCAGGGGAGCAAACGGG